rnacentral:misc_RNA from 1 species
UGGCUCCAGCACCGAUGAAGAACGCAGCGAAAUGCGAUACGUAAUGUGAAUUGCAGAACUCAGUGAAUCAUCAAAUCUUUGAACGCACAUGGCGCCCCUUGGUAUUCCGGGGGGCAUGCCUGUCCGAGCGUCCGAUCCCCUCUCGAGCGCUGCUCGGCCGUGAGCGCCGCUGUAAUGGCGCGCCCAAAAUCCAGUGGCGGCUCCCACGCAACCCCCUGAGCGUAGUAUCACACCACGGCUCAACAGGUGCCUGGGUGGCCGGCCAGACAAGCACGCAAGGUCGACCUCGGAUCAGGCAGGGAUACCCGCUGA